ensembl:lncRNA
GAACCUGUUUGACCUGUUUUGGGCCAGAUGAGGAAGAGAAGAGAAAGAAGAGGGGAGGAUCCUUAAAGUGUGCUCUUGAUUUUCUACCUUAAUCUCGGUCUACCUUUAAAUGAUUUAUGCCUUGUUUAUGUUUGUUUGUUUCACGUAAAUGUCUUAAAACUAAAUUGUAUAGAUAGGUUCCAGUUCCAUGCAUGUUAAGUGUAAUUUAGUUUUUAUCGUCUCGCGGUUAGGCACAAAGCUACUCUGUUUCAACCCGUGGACUUAAAGCUGGAGCUUCUCCAGUUUCAGCACUAUACUAUUAAAUACAAGCCUAGAUCAGGACUGCAGAAAGGUUAUAAGAAGAUAAAAAAAGACUGAUGUCAAAUCUGAGCUACACUGACACUCCACUGAUGAGUUCAGGUCAACUACUACACACUAUCCGGCAACAAUGGCUUCACCCAGACCCCGCCAUCGACGCGGAAGCAUGGAGCUGCCAACUAACAUGUUAUCUGAUGUUAUUCAUCUCACAGAUGAAUUAAAUAGACUUAAUGAGGACAUUUCCCUGGAAUGUCACAAGCAUAAAGAAAAAUUUUAUGAUGCCAUCAAUGAGUUUAAAAAUGGUUACAGAUUUGCUAUUUAUGCACUCAGAGGAGGACAAAUAACUGGAGGAAUCGCGAUGGUGUUGUCGGCAUUAUCAUUUUUUGUAAUUGAUGAUGAGGUUUCUGCAUUUUUUUCUGGAGCAGGGGCAGGUUUGGCUGUAGUUGCUGUAUUAUGUGCUGCUUUUGGACGAAACAGGAAAACACAGCAGGAAAAGAACUUAAAACAAUCUAUUGAAGAGAAACUUAAUGGAUUUCAGGAUAAAAUGAACCUUAUUAUUGACAUGAUGGAAAAAAUCUGUCAACGCACUGAGGAAAUAUUGAGAGACCCUUCACUAUCAGACCUCAAAACCCAGGCAUUAAGUGAACAUUUUGCCUACUGCUUUGAAAAGAGGCACGUCUUCCAGGAACAUGACAGGAGUAAAGUGGGUGACCAGAUGUCUAAAAUUGUGCAUUUGUCUGGAAACAUUUCAGAAAUGAUCGCCAAGAUUAGUUCUGUGCCUGAUAUCCUCAAAGAGAUUAUUGAAGACAACAAGAAGCACCGUGGAAAACCUGCAAAACCCAGACAAGAACUAAUAAAUAAAAGAGAGUUUAUGGAGAAAGCAGAGAAAUUCAUUAAUGAUAUGCAGAAAGGAAUAUGUGAGUUAAGAAAUGGAGUGAAAGCAAUCAGCCAAAAAACAGACAGUUUAUCAGAUAUUUUGAGUCGAACCUGACAAAAUGAAAAAGUAUGAACUGCUGAGACAAAACUUGUUACUGGAUCCACCUGACAGAGAACCACACAAACAGUGACCAAUUUUACAUUGCAGUAUUGACUAAUGUCAAUGUUUCAUUGUCCUACAACAAUGAAAUGUUCAUAUUGUCAAAAUAUACACAUAUAUAUAUAUAUAUAUAUGUGUGUGUGUGUGUGUGUGUGUGUGUGUGUGGAAAGUAAUACUUUGUAUGUAUGAUUGUUUUUGCUUUGUGUUAUUGAUCAGAAGAAGAUGAUUUUAUUUUGUGCUUAUUAUGUGCUUUAUAUUAAUCACUUUUCAUAACAAAACACGUAAUAAAAUGUACAGACAAAAAUAUAUUGGAUUUUCU